UCAAAUUUUCUCACGUAGCUGUUUUGCCA
rnacentral:piRNA from 1 species